UACAGUUGUGGUAUACCUUUAUCUGAUAUCAUAACAAUACAUUCAUACAUAGCUGUACUAUAAACUACAAAAAGAAGUAUUGAACGUAACCGCACGAAAGAAAGUUCUAAUUAUUACGAUAAAUUUUUGGAAUUACUUUUCAGAGUAUCUACGAAAUGUAUUUUAAAUAUUCUGAAAUCAUUGGUUAAGUUAAUAGUUUUGUACCAAAUAAUUAAAGAUCUUCAGAAAAAUUUAUGUGGGGUAUUACUCAGUAUGCUUCUCUACCGACAUGGCCGUCUGUUGUUAUGCACGUUUGUAGCAAUACUAUUUGUAACAGCUAGCAUGAUGCUAAUUUCUUUUAACUAUACCAACAGUUAUCUAAUUAAAAAAUUUGAGUCCAUAUGUACGCUAAAUUCGUUUAUAAAAACAGCAGAACUCGUAGAAACUACUAUUAAAACGACAAGUUCAACUACCAUUAAAACUACAACUUCAGCUUCUCCAGAGAAUCAUAUUCAUUGUUAUCGAGAAAACGUAGAAUCUCUACCUGAUAUCUCAGACUUUAAUCCAAGACCAGGAAAAUCUAUAUUCUUCCAUGAAACAUCGUGCCACUCAUUUGACCACGGCAAAAUAGUCAUUAAUUCACGACAAGCCUGUGCUGUGGAAAGUGCAGCCAAGAUGAAUCCAGAUCUUGAUGUAUAUUUACUGUAUGCUUCGCCAGGGAUAUUUAGAUUUGAAGGAGAUGAAUCAGAUCAUUUUUUAAGAAGUUUAUUAAGUUAUAAAAAUGUUCAUAUUCUACAUUUGAAUUACGAAAACUACGUUAAAGGUUCGCCAGUGGAGACAUUGUGGACUUCCGGAAAGAUUGAGAAAUCUAAGUAUGUUGUGUCACAUGCAAGUGACGUAUUGAGGUAUCUAACACUGUGGAAAUAUGGUGGUAUUUAUUUGGAUUUGGAUGUGGUAGUGAUAAAAUCCUUACAGGAUCUACCGUUGAAUUAUGCAGGUCUACAGAGUCCGAACGAAGUAGCAGCAGGUGUUGUCAGCUUUGAAGCCGAUGGUUUUGGACAUAGUUUGGCUGAUAAUUGCGUGAAUAGAUUAAAAAAUAAAUUCAAUGGUCAAGUUUGGGGAAGUAAUGGACCAGUUAUAGUUUCUUCAGUAAUGAAGGAAAGCUGCAAUGUAACAAUAGCAUCCGAAAUGCUAACGAAAAAUUGUACUGGACUUACAAUGUAUCCAAUGGAGACAUUUUACCCCAUACCUUACUCGCUGUGGCGGAAAUAUUUUAGGGAAGAGGAUUUUAAUGAAGUUAUCAACAAAACAAAAAAUACUUACGUAUUGCAUACGUGGAACAAGCUCAGUGAAGGUGAAAGAAUACCUCUUAAUAAAAACCCGGCCUAUUUGCAUUUUGCUAAAUUGCGUUGUCCAAAGGUUGUUGAGGCUUGUAAGACAUAUUUUUAAUGAGUUGAUAUGCUGGUGUGUGAAGUUUUCCUGAGAUUUUAUCAUUUACGAAUCUGGAUGGGACACGAUCUUGGUGAUCUAAUUUGGUAUUACUAAUUUAUUUAUUACUGUCUUGAUCCACUUCAUCCCUCGAUGAUCUUCGGGGUAUAUCUCUUCUU
rnacentral:misc_RNA from 1 species